CCUGCGGGCGGCAGCAGUGAGGAAUAUUGGUCAAUGGGCGAGAGCCUGAACCAGCCAAGUCGCGUGAGGGAUGACUGCCCUAUGGGUUGUAAACCUCUUUUGUAUGGGGGGAAUAAGCUUUACGAGUAGAGUGAUGACAGUACCAUACGAAUAAGCAUCGGCUAACUCCGUGCCAGCAGCCGCGGUAAUACGGAGGAUGCGAGCGUUAUCCGGAUUUAUUGGGUUUAAAGGGUGCGUAGGCGGCAUUAUAAGUUAGUGGUAAAAUAUUGGGGCUUCACCUCACUACGCCAUUAAUACUGUAGAGCUAGAGAACAGACGAGGUAGGCGGAAUAAGUUAAGUAGCGGUGAAAUGCAUAGAUAUAACUUAGAACACCGAUAGCGAAGGCAGCUUACCAGACUGAGUCUGACGCUGAUGCACGAGAGCAUGGGUAGCGAACAGGAUUAGAUACCCUAGUAGUC
rnacentral:rRNA from 1 species